AUCAUCUGUUGCCUCACCAUACCUGGAUAAAACCAUAAUCACAGGUACUUGUGAAAACAAUUGGUAACCUGCUCCUGCUAUGGUUGGAGGGAAAGAUGGUGAGCUCCAGAACAGGGGCCUGGUUUCAGUUGUCUUUAAAUCCCAAAGGCUAGCACACUAUUUGGAAUCACUGUAAGCCUCAAGACCGUGACAGGAUCAAUGAGCAUCAUUACUGACGGAGGUAUCGUGGUUUUAAAACAUAUCCGCAAAUUCUUUGACACUCCUCCCCUCAAGAGGUGGUUUUAUUUUCCUGCUUCUUUGCGUGACUGGUAAACUUUGAUUGGAUGCCAGACAUUCUGACUCUAUCUCAUUGGGUGCUGGAUAUUUUUGUAUCCCUAUAUAUAUUCUGGGACACAGUUAAGUUGUCUGAAAACAGUUUGAUCCUCUCAGGUCUUGCUUUGAAGAUUUGUUGGGUAGGACCAGGGCAGCACUGAGUCUAGAGAUCACUUCCCCCGCUGUGAAGAGAGAACCCUGGAGAUUCUUGGCAAAAAUGUCCUAAAGUCCAGGGAAAGACACAAAGAUGGAUGUGCGCAUACACACAGGAUGUCUUGGGCCAGAGGAGCAGCAUCAGCUGGCCGCUUCGGUCACUUGUCACGCCCUUCUCUCUCUGGGGACUGCAUUGCCACCGCUAAAAGCACUUAUAAUUGUUUCUUUGAAAAUGGCCAUAUUCUCCAGAGAAGCUCUCAGGCAAGAAAUCUAAUUAUCUUGGAAUUAUUGAAUUCUCUGGGUACCGUCUUCUAGGUAGGCAGACAGAGUCUUUAUUUCAUUUUUAGAAAGGUUGUUUGCUGUUACACAUAAUGGACUGUUUGUCCUCUUCCUCCCACCAUGGUUUGGAAAGAGAAGCAGUGGAAUUUAUCAAUCCCUCCUCUACACCUGGCCUUCAUCAAACACUGCAAACAACCAACACUGUGUAGAAGCAUUUGGU